GGCUCUGCUCUCUCCUCAGCGCAUCGGGGGACAGGCGUGAGACAGAGCCCCCUGUCGGGGUGUGGCCAGCAGCCGGGGGCUGGACUCGCCCGUGCCUCCUGCCCGAGCACUGUAUGGCGAGAGCGGCAGAGGGAUGAACCGGCUCAUCCAACCCGGCCCUGGGUCCGGCUCACGGGGCUGUGACUCCAGUUCGCUCCCCACCAGGCCAGGGUCAGCGUCUGUGACUCACCACCCCCCGCCCACAGCGCCUCCCCCCUCCGGGAGCCUCGCAGCUGCUCGUCACGGGACUCGGGCCGGCGAGGCGGGCCGCUGUGAGUGUUUCUUUGGCAGUGUCUUAGCUGGUUGUUGUGAGUACUAGUGCAGGAAGCAAUCAGCAAGUAUACUGCCCUAGAAGUGCUGCACGUUGGGGGCCCGGGGACGUGAGA